UUUAUUUGUUGUAGGUGGACACAAUACCUUUAUUUUACUUUUAUAUGGUACUGAGGAUUGAACCCAGUGCCUCAUGCAUGCCAAGUGUGAGCGCUCUACCUCUGAGCCACAACCCCAGCCUGAAAGUUCUCUUUUUAAGCACAUUUAAUUUUGGCUAUAUGAUUACAGGUUCUAGCUGAAAAGAUUCCAACCUCUGCUUUGAUGUAAACUGUGAGGAUUCCAGGAGACAGAAGAUUUUUGGGAAGCACUUUCAGAAGUUUUCAGAUGUGCUUCCUCAGUUGUGGUGAGAAGGCAAAUGAUGAGAGAAAAAAACUCAAUCAACCAGAAUAUAUUUCUUAAAAAUAUCCUUGGUGGACAGUGAAAGUCUUCAAUGCAAUGAUAACCGUGAAUAUUUGUUAACUGCCUGCUAAUAAAAGUAAGAGAGAGAAGAGGGAAGAUUUUAAAAGGCAACAUUCCCAGGGAGUAUGCAAAUCACAGGUGAAUGUAUGACUUGAAGUAACAGGGAAGCAUCCCUGAUCAGACACAUCCAACUGAGAGGGGCCACUGGCUACAGAAGAGUAAAACAAAG